CCUGGAGCGAAUCUCAGAAAUAACGUCUCAGUUCGGAUUGUAGUCUGCAACUCGACUACAUGAAGCUGGAAUCGCUAGUAAUCGCGGAUCAGAAUGCCGCGGUGAAUACGUUCCCGGGUCUUGUACACACCGCCCGUCACACCAUGGGAGUCGGGAAUGCCCGAAGCCAGUGACCCAAGCGAGAGCAGGGAGCUGUCGAAGGCAGGCCGGAUAACUGGGGUGAAGUCGUAACAAGGUAUC
rnacentral:rRNA from 1 species